GCAGCUCAGUGGCCGAGCAGCUGCUUCUCAAGCAGAAGGUCCCGGGUUCAAUCCCUCACAUCUCCA